GUGUGUGUAUUUUGUUGUAGUGGUGGGGAUGCAGAAAAUUUUAUUCCUGCAAAUCCUUUAGUGACUCCUAUUCAUAUUAAGCCUGAAUGAGAUUUUGUA